rnacentral:rRNA from 1 species
UACGUAGGUGGCGAGCGUUGUCCGGAUUUACUGGGCGUAAAGGGAGCGUAGGCGGACUUUUAAGUGAGAUGUGAAAUACCCAAGCUCAACUUGGGUGCUGCACUUCAAACUGGAAGUCUAGAGUGCAGGAGAGGAGAAUGGAAUUCCUAGUGUAGCGGUGAAAUGCGUAGAGAUUAGGAAGAACACCAGUGGCGAAGGCGAUUCUCUGGACUGUAACUGACGCUGAGUCACGAAAGCGUGGGUAGCAAACAGGAUUAGAUA